GUUUCCGUGGUGUAGUUGGUUUAUCACAUCCGCCUAACACGCGGAAGGUCCCCGGUUCAAACCCGGGCGGAAACA